AUUGAACGCUGGCGGCAUGCCUUACACAUGCAAGUCGAACGGCAGCACGGGUGCUUGCACCUGGUGGCGAGUGGCGAACGGGUGAGUAAUACAUCGGAACGUACCUUAUCGUGGGGGAUAACGCAGCGAAAGCUGUGCUAAUACCGCACACGCCCUGAGGGGGAAAGCGGGGGAUCGAAAGACCUCGCGCGAUUAGAGCGGCCGAUGCCUGAUUAGCUUGUUGGUGGGGUAAAAGCCCACCAAGGCGACGAUCAGUAGCUGGUCUGAGAGGACGAUCAGCCACACUGGGACUGAGACACGGCCCAGACUCCUACGGGAGGCAGCAGUGGGGAAUUUUGGACAAUGGGGGCAACCCUGAUCCAGCAAUGCCGCGUGAGUGAAGAAGGCCUUCGGGUUGUAAAGCUCUUUUGUCAGGGAAGAAACACCGGCUCUAACACAGUCCGGGAGUGACGGUACCUGGAGAAUAAGCACCGGCUAACUACGUGCCAGCCGCCGCCGUAA
rnacentral:rRNA from 1 species